UACAGAGGGUGCUAGCGUUGUUCGGAUUCACUGGGCGUAAAGGGUGCGUAGGUGGCCGGGUAAGUUUGAUGUGAAAGCUCGGAGCUCAACUCCGAAACGGCAUUGAAUACUAUCCGGCUCGAGGGUCGGAGGGGAGACUGGAAUUCUCGGUGUAGCAGUGAAAUGCGUAGAUAUCGAGAGGAACACCAGUGGCGAAGGCGAGUCUCUGGACGACCCCUGACACUGAGGCACGAAAGCUAGGGGAGCAAACAGG
rnacentral:rRNA from 1 species